UUACGUAAUUAAAAUAGGAUUACUUAUUAAAACCGUGAAUAAUAGUAAACAAAACUAUAGAGAAUGAAAUAAUAAAACUUGGCUCUGAUUUAAAAGUAUGGCGUGCACUGAAGGAUACACAUGGUUUUUUUAGAAAGAGGUGAGGUGGAAAACUAAAAUCAAAAAUGAACAUAAAGUUGUAUGAUAUAGUUUUCUAGGAUGUUAUAGUGAACAUGAUAUCCUGAAAUACCCACUAACACCAGUGUUGAAGGUUAAGAGAAAAGCGAAAGCUUGUAUUAAUUCAGUUAAUAAAAUUUGGUUAAUUUGGUGCCAGCAUCCGCGGUUAAACCAAGAAAUUUAGUCAUUCUUUGACGGUAAAAAGACAGUUAAGCAAAAGCAAGAAUUAUAGGACCUUUAGUAAAGGAGUAAAAUCUAAAUACUAAAAGUUAUACCAGAUAUAGUUUAUUUAAGGUGCUGAAUCUGUGACAACUUUAAGGGAAACUGGGAUUGGAUACCCCAUUAUUUUUAGUCGUAAACUUAGUUUAGGCUUACCAGAGUACUACGAAUAAAAAAUUUAAAACUCAAAGGGCUUGGCGGUGUUUUAGACCUCUCAGGGGAACCUGUCUCAUAAUCGACAAUCCACGUUAGACCUGACCCUUUAUAGCAAUUCAGUUUGUAUACCGUCGUCGUCAGGUAACUUCUAAAAAUAUAGUAGUUAGCUCGAUAAUUAUAUUAAUUAAAACGUCAGAUCAAGGUGCAGCUAAUAAGAGGGGGAGGAUGGGUUACAAUUAUAGAUUCAUAACUACGGAAAAAACUUGAAAUGAAGUGGCCUAGAAGGAGGACUUGAAAGUAAUUUUGGUUAUAUAAACAGAAUGAAUAAGGCUCUGAAACGUGCACACAUCGCCCGUCGCUCUCGUUGAAAAAUGAGAUAAGUCGUAACAUAGUAGGGGUAAUGGAAAUUGUUCCUAGGCUG
rnacentral:rRNA from 1 species